rnacentral:rRNA from 1 species
CCUACGGGGGGCAGCAGUGGGGGAUAUUGGGCAAUGGGCGCAAGCCUGACCCAGCAACGCCGCGUGAAGGAAGAAGGCUUUCGGGUUGUAAACUUCUUUUAAGAGGGAAGAGAAGAAGACGGUACCCCGUGCAUAAGCCACGGCGAACUUCGGGCCAGACGCCGCGGUAAUACGUAGGUGGCAAGCGUUUUCCGGAUUUACUGGGUGUAAAGGGCGUGUAGCCGGGCUGACAAGUCAGAUGUGAAAUGCCGUGGCUCAACCACGGAACUGCAUUUGAAACUGUCGGUCUUGAGUAUCGGAGAGGUAGGCGGAAUUCCUAGUGUAGCGGUGAAAUGCGUAGAUAUUAGGAGGAACACCAGUGGCGAAGGCGGCCUGCUGGACGACAACUGACGGUGAGGCGCGAAAGCGUGGGGAGCAAACAGGAUUAGAUACCCGGGUAGUC